rnacentral:rRNA from 1 species
AUUGAACGCUGGCGGCGUGCCUAACACAUGCAAGUCGAGCGGUAACAGGUGUAGCAAUACAUGCUGACGAGCGGCGAACGGGUGAGUAAUGCUUCGGAAUCUUCCCAGUAGUGGGGAAUA